AGCUACAGGCUUAACACAUGCAAGUCGAGGGGAAACGACAUCGAAAGCUUGCUUUUGAUGGGCGUCGACCGGCGCACGGGUGAGUAACGCGUAUCCAACCUGCCCACCACUUGGGGAUAACCUUGCGAAAGUAAGACUAAUACCCAAUGACGUCUCUAGAAGACAUCUGAAAGAGAUUAAAGAUUUAUCGGUGAUGGAUGGGGAUGCGUCUGAUUAGCUUGUUGGCGGGGUAACGGCCCACCAAGGCGACGAUCAGUAGGGGUUCUGAGAGGAAGGUCCCCCACAUUGGAACUGAGACACGGUCCAAACUCCUACGGGAGGCAGCAGUGAGGAAUAUUGGUCAAUGGACGAGAGUCUGAACCAGCCAAGUAGCGUGCAGGAUGACGGCCCUAUGGGUUGUAAACUGCUUUUAUAAGGGAAUAAAGUGAGUCUCGUGAGACUUUUUGCAUGUACCUUAUGAAUAAGGACCGGCUAAUUCCGUGCCAGCAGCCGCGGUAAUACGGAAGGUCCGGGCGUUAUCCGGAUUUAUUGGGUUUAAAGGGAGCGUAGGCCGGAGAUUAAGCGUGUUGUGAAAUGUAGACGCUCAACGUCUGCACUGCAGCGCGAACUGGUUUCCUUGAGUACGCACAAAGUGGGCGGAAUUCGUGGUGUAGCGGUGAAAUGCUUAGAUAUCACGAAGAACUCCGAUUGCGAAGGCAGCUCACUGGAGCGCAACUGACGCUGAAGCUCGAAAGUGCGGGUAUCGAACAGGAUUAGAUACCCUGGUAGUCCGCACGGUAAACGAUGGAUGCCCGCUGUUGGUCUGAAUAGGUCAGCGGCCAAGCGAAAGCAUUAAGCAUCCCACCUGGGGAGUACGCCGGCAACGGUGAAACUCAAAGGAAUUGACGGGGGCCCGCACAAGCGGAGGAACAUGUGGUUUAAUUCGAUGAUACGCGAGGAACCUUACCCGGGCUUGAAUUGCAGAGGAAGGAUUUGGAGACAAUGACGCCCUUCGGGGCCUCUGUGAAGGUGCUGCAUGGUUGUCGUCAGCUCGUGCCGUGAGGUGUCGGCUUAAGUGCCAUAACGAGCGCAACCCCUCUCCUUAGUUGCCAUCAGGUCAAGCUGGGCACUCUGGGGACACUGCCACCGUAAGGUGUGAGGAAGGUGGGGAUGAC
rnacentral:rRNA from 1 species